rnacentral:rRNA from 1 species
AAUCAACGCUGGCGGCGUGCCUCAGACAUGCAAGUCGAACGAUUAAGACUUCCUUCGGGAAGUGUAUAAAGUGGCGCACGGGUGAGUAACACGUAAGUAAUCUACCUUCGAGUGGGGAAUAACAUCGGGAAACCGAUGCUAAUACCGCAUAAUGCAGCGGCAUCGCAAGAUGACAGUUGUUAAAGGAGCAAUUCGCUUGAAGAGGAGCUUGAGGCAGAUUAGCUAGUUGGUAAGGUAAUGGCUUACCAAGGCUACGAUCUGUAUCCGGUCUAAGAGGACGGUCGGACACACUGACACUGAAUAACGGGUCAGACUCCUACGGGAGGCAGCAGUCGGGAAUUUUGGGCAAUGGGCGAAAGCCUGACCAGCAACGCUGCGUGAGGGAUGAAGUAUUUCGGUAUGUAAACCUCGAAAGAAUGGGAAGAAUAAAUGACGGUACCAUUUAUAAGCUCCGGCUAACUACGUGCCAGCAGCCGCAGUAACAC